GGGAAAGUGGUAGAGGUUAGGACAUUGGACUUCUGAUCAGAAGGUUGUGAGUUCAAAUCCCAGCACUGCCA